AAGCCCCGGCACCUUUACUGUGCGUCUUCAAAUUUGCAAUUUGCUGUGCUAACACCCCUGGGGCCU
rnacentral:tRNA from 1 species